UACAGAGGUCUCAAGCGUUGUUCGGAUUCAUUGGGCGUAAAGGGUGCGUAGGUGGCGCGGUAAGUCGGGUGUGAAAUUUCGGAGCUUAACUCCGAAACUGCAUUCGAUACUGCCGUGCUUGAGGACUGGAGGGGAGACUGGAAUUUACGGUGUAGCAGUGAAAUGCGUAGAGAUCGUAAGGAAGACCAGUGGCGAAGGCGGGUCUCUGGACAGUUCCUGACACUGAGGCACGAAGGCCAGGGGAGCAAACGGG
rnacentral:rRNA from 1 species